rnacentral:rRNA from 1 species
UACGUAGGGUGCGAGCGUUAAUCGGAAUUACUGGGCGUAAAGCGUGCGCAGGCGGUUCGUUGUGUCUGUGGUGAAAGCCCCGGGCUUAACCUGGGAAUGGCCAUGGAAACUGGCGAGCUGGAGUCUGGCAGAGGGGGGUGGAAUUCCGCGUGUAGCAGUGAAAUGCGUAGAGAUGCGGAGGAACACCGAUGGCGAAGGCAGCCCCCUGGGCUAAGACUGACGCUGAGGCACGAAAGCGUGGGGAGCAAACAGG